GUUUGUCUUUGCCUCCUUUACCUUUCUUGCUUUUCUUUGCUAAUUUAGCACACUUUGCUUUUUGGGCCAGUGCCUUACACUUCUUUUUUAGUUUGGCUUAAGAGCUUUUCUUUGAUUUACCUUUUCCGCCUUUACCUUUCUUGCUUUUCUUUGCUAAUUUAGCACACUUUGCUUUUUGGGCCAGUGCUUUACAUUGCUUUUUUAGUUUGGCUUGCUUGCUUUUCUUUGCCAAUUUAGUACACUUUGCUUUUUGGGCCAUUUCUUUACACUGUUUUUUUAGUUUGUCUUUGCCUCCUUUACCUUUCUUGCUUUUCUUUGCUAAUUUAGCACACUUUGCUUUUUGGGCCAGUGCCUUACACUUCUUUUUUAGUUUGGCUUAAGAGCUUUUCUUUGAUUUACCUUUUCCGCUUUUACCUUUCUUGCUUUUCUUUGCUAAUUUAGCACACUUUGCUUUUUGGGCCAGUGCUUUACAUUGCUUUUUUAGUUUGGCUUGCUUGCUUUUCUUUGCCAAUUUAGUACACUUUGCUUUUUCGGCCAAUUCUUUACACUGUUUUUUUAGUUUGGUCUGUUUGGAUUUACCGCCCUUGCUAUUGCUAUCUUUGCCUCCUUUACCUUUCUUGCUUUUCUUUGCUAAUUUAGCACACUUUGCUUUUUGGGCCAGUGCCUUACACUUCUUUUUUAGUUUGGCUUGUUGAGAAGCGCCCUUACCACCCU